rnacentral:lncRNA from 1 species
UUUCUUUUUAGGAGAGACCAGGAUCAGACAUUGGCAGUGUUUGGCCCCUCUGGACACCGGUCUGCGGAAGGAGAGGCCACCCUGACGGUAUUCUGGGGCUCUGGGUAGGCCAGUCCCAGUCGGGCCCUAUCGCCGAUCAACCAACCCGCAGGAGUUUAUUGGGAAAGCCUCUAGAGCCAACCUGGGAUGAUUGCCAGCAGCUUUCACAGAUCCUGUUCACCACUGAGGAACCGGACUGCAUUUAACAACAGACAGUCAAAGAGGCCCUGGGGCCAAACCCCAGUGUCACUCCCGGAACUCCGGGGCAUUUGGCCAAGUCUCUUCAAGCCUUACAGAUUCUUCAGAGUGAGAUCCAGGCUACAAAACAACAGGC